rnacentral:rRNA from 1 species
GAUGAACGCUGGCGGCGUGCCUAAUACAUGCAAGUCGAGCGAACGGACGAGAAGCUUGCUUCUCUGAUGUUAGCGGCGGACGGGUGAGUAACACGUGGAUAACCUACCUAUAAGACUGGGAUAACUUCGGGAAACCGGAGCUAAUACCGGAUAAUAUUUUGAACCGCAUGGUUCAAAAGUGAAAGACGGUCUUGCUGUCACUUAUAGAUGGAUCCGCGCUGCAUUAGCUAGUUGGUAAGGUAACGGCUUACCAAGGCAACGAUGCAUAGCCGACCUGAGAGGGUGAUCGGCCACACUGGAACUGAGACACGGUCCAGACUCCUACGGGAGGCAGCAGUAGGGAAUCUUCCGCAAUGGGCGAAAGCCUGACGGAGCAACGCCGCGUGAGUGAUGAAGGUCUUCGGAUCGUAAAACUCUGUUAUUAGGGAAGAACAUAUGUGUAAGUAACUGUGCACAUCUUGACGGUACCUAAUCAGAAAGCCACGGCUAACUACGUGCCAGCAGCCGCGGUAAUACGUAGGUGGCAAGCGUUAUCCGGAAUUAUUGGGCGUAAAGCGCGCGUAGGCGGUUUUUUAAGUCUGAUGUGAAAGCCCACGGCUCAACCGUGGAGGGUCAUUGGAAACUGGAAAACUUGAGUGCAGAAGAGGAAAGUGGAAUUCCAUGUGUAGCGGUGAAAUGCGCAGAGAUAUGGAGGAACACCAGCGGCGAAGGCGACUUUCUGGUCUGUAACUGACGCUGAUGUGCGAAAGCGUGGGGAUCAAACAGGAUUAGAUACCCUGGUAGUCCACGCCGUAAACGAUGAGUGCUAAGUGUUAGGGGGUUUCCGCCCCUUAGUGCUGCAGCUAACGCAUUAAGCACUCCGCCUGGGGAGUACGACCGCAAGGUUGAAACUCAAAGGAAUUGACGGGGACCCGCACAAGCGGUGGAGCAUGUGGUUUAAUUCGAAGCAACGCGAAGAACCUUACCAAAUCUUGACAUCCUUUGACAACUCUAGAGAUAGAGCUUUCCCCUUCGGGGGACAAAGUGACAGGUGGUGCAUGGUUGUCGUCAGCUCGUGUCGUGAGAUGUUGGGUUAAGUCCCGCAACGAGCGCAACCCUUAAGCUUAGUUGCCAUCAUUAAGUUGGGCACUCUAAGUUGACUGCCGGUGACAAACCGGAGGAAGGUGGGGAUGACGUCAAAUCAUCAUGCCCCUUAUGAUUUGGGCUACACACGUGCUACAAUGGACAAUACAAAGGGCAGCGAAACCGCGAGGUCAAGCAAAUCCCAUAAAGUUGUUCUCAGUUCGGAUUGUAGUCUGCAACUCGACUACAUGAAGCUGGAAUCGCUAGUAAUCGUAGAUCAGCAUGCUACGGUGAAUACGUUCCCGGGUCU